GGUUGGUUGUAACUGGAAUUGGAGUUUUGUCUACUGUGAUGAAACUGAGAGUAUUAGGCCUUGGACCAGCAGCACGGGAGAAGCUAUCUAACUAAGCAGGGAGCUGACACCUAGAGAACCAGGCAGUAGGAGGGAUGCCUGGUGGCCCCAGAGUCCCUGGUUUAAGUCAUUCCUGAGGCUGGCUGCAUUCUUGUCCAGCCAGUGGUUUGGAUACUGGAGUCAAUAAGUAAUCCCCAUACUCCCCUUUCCCAGAAGCCCGAGCAAAGCUGGCUCUGUACGCAGGAUGAGGGGAGGCUUGUGUGUGUGUGUGCGCUGUGGGUUCCUGAUCAGAAAGUUCUACCCCAUCUGAUGAGCCCUGGCAAAAAAGUCAUCAGAGAUGGUACUGAGGCUCUGAAAGCCUACGUGCUGGGGAGGAAGAUCCCAAGGAAGCAAUAAGUAACAGACUGACUUCACCUGGGCCCAUAACUCAUACCAAGGAACUAAUUCAACUGCUUCUGUGACUUCCACCCAGGAACUGACUCAACACAAGAAGACAGCUUCAACCCUCUGUAAUUUCAUCCCUGGCCCAACCAAUCAGCAUCCCCCAUUCCCUAGCCCCUUGACUGCCAAACUAUCUUUGAAAAACCCUAACCUUUGAGCUUUUGGGGAGGGUGAUUUGAGUAAUAAACUCCCAUCCUUCCACUUAACUAGCCCUG
rnacentral:lncRNA from 10 species